CCGACUCAUAUCUAAAGUUAUCCGACCACACACGGUGCUGGCCACUGCUUAUAUUUUUGAGCCAGAAAUUCAACUUCCAAGAAUAUGUCUUACAGAAAUUCCUACACAAAUAAAUAUUUGCUGUAGUUUUGGUUGUUGUUCCUGCUGCUGUUCUUAUAAUAGAAACAACAAAUAUCCAAGAAGAGGGGAUUUGAAUACAAUGUAGACAUUAAAAAGAAUGAAAAAGGUCUACUCAGACCAACACUGAAAGAUGUUCAAACUCAUUGUUAAGUGAAAAAAAAAAACUUGUAUAACUUAAUUUUUGUUUUGAAAAAAACCUUUUGUAUAUUCAUAGAAAAAAAUUCCAAGGGGAAAUACAUUGAACUGUUAAUAGUUAACUAUGGGCUGGGAAGGAGGGAGGGGACAGUGCACAGGGGACUUUCCAGGGUUUGUAUUCCAUCUUUAUUGUUAUAAUAAUUAUACACCACUUCUGUAAGCAAACAAAAUAAGAAAAGUAGUUUUUAAAGACAUGACGUCUUCCCCUAGACACGUUCACUGUCUUAUGGGUCAUUUCUGGGUAGGUAUUCAUAUCUCCAUUUUAUAAAGGAGGUUCAGAGAAGUAAAGUGAUUUCUUCAAGGUCACACAGCCGGCCAAGCCUUCCUCAAAGGUUAAGUGAGCAGACAGGAUCCUCCUGGUGCAGAGAGACGGGACCAAUCAUGUUUGCUAUGAGGUCACUUUGAAGGCCUGGGAUUGGUGCUCUUGUCUAAACUGAGCCGGAUGGUGCACCUGCUUGGGAUGAUUUGGCUUUCUCGGAGUUGCCGUGGGGGGCAUCAGUUCUCCGUCCUCUAAAGGUCGCACCGGCACCCUCAGCUUUGGGUGGGUUAGCCGUAGAGGCGCCCCGCCCUUCCUGCUGUGGUCAGUAAUCCCCCAUGCCCGUGCCGGCAUAGCCUGCAGCCCUCCCUCCCUGCAUCUCUCGCACCGAAGACAGGCAAAGGCCGUGACCGGCUUCCGCCCUGCUCAGACUGGCGCUUCAGCCCCGGUGACUGCACCUGGCGUAGUCCCGGCAUGACCUGCCUGGCCUCGAGCCAGCGCAAAGCAAUUAGAAACAGGACUCAAUGCAAACUCUACUUCCCUGUCUUUGCGGCUCCCGGGCUGUGCUGCCCGCUGGAAAGUGCCCUGCUUUAUGGAGAAGAGGAUUGAGGUCCAAAGAGAGUAAGGGGCUUGGCCCAGGCCACACAGCAAGUUAACAGCAGAGCAUGGACUUUUCUUUCAGGGCAGCAAGCUGGAUGAUCUCAGUCUCCUCAUCUGUGAAAUGGGACUCUCAGUCCCUACCCCACACGAUGCUGGGAGAAGAUAGACUAACUUUAAU
rnacentral:lncRNA from 1 species